rnacentral:rRNA from 1 species
CCUACGGGAGGCUGCAGUGAGGAAUAUUGGUCAAUGGGCGCGAGCCUGACCCAGCCAAGUCGCGUGAGGGAUGAAGGUUCUAUGGAUCGUAACCCUCUUUUAUAAGGGAAUAAAGUGUGGGACGUGUCCUAUUUUGUAUGUACCUUAUGAAUAAGGAUCGGCUAACUCCGUGCCAGCAGCCGCGGUAAUACGGAGAAUCCGAGCGUUAUCCGGAUUUAUUGGGUUUAAAGGGUGUGUAGGCGGCCUUUUAAGUCAGCGGUGAAAGUCUGUGGCUCAACCAUAGAAUUGCCGUUGAAACUGGGGGGCUUGAGUAUGUUUGAGGCAGGCGGAAUGCGUGGUGUAGCGGUGAAAUGCUUAGAUAUCACGCAGAACCUCGAUUGCGAAGGCAGCCUGCCAAGCCAUGACUGACGCUGAUGCACGAAAGCGUGGGGAUCAAACAGGAUUAGAUACCCUGGUAGUC